UGAUAAUCUGUGCCGAGACAACCAUCUGG
rnacentral:piRNA from 1 species